rnacentral:rRNA from 1 species
AUGUGGAGCCGUAGCGAAAGCGAGUCUGAAUAGGGCGUUUAGUAUUUGGUCGUAGACCCGAAACCAGGUGAUCUACCCUUGGUCAGGUUGAAGUUCAGGUAACACUGAAUGGAGGACCGAACCGACUUACGUUGAAAAGUGAGCGGAUGAACUGAGGGUAGCGGAGAAAUUCCAAUCGAACCUGGAGAUAGCUGGUUCUCUCCGAAAUAGCUUUAGGGCUAGCCUCAAGUGAUGAUUAUUGGAGGUAGAGCACUGUUUGGACGAGGGGCCCCUCUCGGGUUACCGAAUUCAGACAAACUCCGAAUGCCAAUUAAUUUAACUUGGGAGUCAGAACAUGGGUGAUAAGGUCCGUGUUCGAAAGGGAAACAGCCCAGACCACCAGCUAAGGUCCCAAAAUAUAUGUUAAGUGGAAAAGGAUGUGGCGUUGCCCAGACAACUAGGAUGUUGGCUUAGAAGCAGCCAUCAUUUAAAGAGUGCGUAAUAGCUCACUAGUCGAGUGACACUGCGCCGAAAAUGUACCGGGGCUAAACAUAUUACCGAAGCUGUGGAUUGUCCUUUGGACAAUGGUAGGAGAGCGUUCUAAGGGCGUUGAAGCAUGAUCGUAAGGACAUGUGGAGCGCUUAGAAGUGAGAAUGCCGGUGUGAGUAGCGAAAGACGGGUGAGAAUCCCGUCCACCGAUUGACUAAGGUUUCCAGAGGAAGGCUCGUCCGCUCUGGGUUAGUCGGGUCCUAAGCUGAGGCCGACAGGCGUAGGCGAUGGAUAACAGGUUGAUAUUCCUGUACCACCUAUAAUCGUUUUAAUCGAUGGGGGGACGCAGUAGGAUAGGCGAAGCGUGCGAUUGGAUUGCACGUCUAAGCAGUAAGGCUGAGUAUUAGGCAAAUCCGGUACUCGUUAAGGCUGAGC